rnacentral:rRNA from 1 species
AUUGAACGCUGGCGGCAGGCCUAACACAUGCAAGUCGAACGAGUGGCGGACGGGUGAGUAAUGUAUGGGAAUCUGCCUGAUGGAGGGGGAUAACUACUGGAAACGGUAGCUAAUAACGCAUACCAUCGGAUGUGCCCAAAUGGGAUUAGCUUGUUGGUGGGGUAAAGGCUCACCAAGGCGACGAUCCCUAGCUGGUCUGAGAGGAUGACCAGCCACACUGGAACUGAGACACGGGCCAGACUCCUACGGGAGGCAGCAGUGGGGAAUAUUGCACAAUGGGCGCAAGCCUGAUGCAGCCAUGCCGCGUGUAUGAAGAAGGCCUUCGGGUUGUAAAGUACUUUCAGCGGGGAGGCGUUACCCGCAGAAGAAGCACCGGCUAACUUCGUGCCAGCAGCCGCGGUAAUAC